rnacentral:lncRNA from 1 species
AAAUCAAACUAACACUAGUCCAAAACCAACCUUAGCAAUGAGACCAUGGGGCAAGUUUAGCGUCUGCAAGAUCCUUAGAAAUGUUUGAAAAUCAAGUUUAGCGUCUCCAAGAUCCUUAUUUUGCUGCAUUUAAAACAACGAACAUGAAUCAUGGAUACGCAGAUAAGGCAUCCAAACAAUUUAUGAGAUUUUCAGCAUUCAUCGGACAAGGAAUACUUAAGGAA